GUCUUGAAACACGGACCAAGGAGUCUAGCAUGUGCGCGAGUCAUUGGGAACAACUAAACCUAAAGGCGUAAUGAAAGUGAAGGUCCGCCCCGCGCGGACCGAGGGAAGAUGGGCGGAUGGGCACCAAAAGCUGGCCGCCCCGCACUCCCGGGGCGUCUCGUUCUCAUUGCGAGAAGAGGCGCACCAAGAGCGUACACGCUGGGACCCGAAAGAUGGUGAACUAUGCCUGGUCAGGACGAAGUCAGGGGAAACCCUGAUGGAGGUCCGUAGCGAUUCUGACGUGCAAAUCGAUCGUCGGAACUGGGUAUAGGGGCGAAAGACUAAUCGAACCAUCUAGUAGCUGGUUCCCUCCGAAGUUUCCCUCAGGAUAGCUGGCGCUCGUCGCAUACGAGUCUCAUCCGGUAAAGCGAAUGAUUAGAGGCAUUGGGGUCGAAACGGCCUCAACCUAUUCUCAAACUUUAAAUGGGUGAGAUCUCCGGCUUGCUCGAACUACUGAAGCCGCGAGACACGGAUCAGAGUGCCAAGUGGGCCAUUUUUGGUAAGCAGAACUGGCGCUGUGGGAUGAACCAAACGCCGAGUUAAAGCGCCUAAAUCGACGCUUAUGGGAUACCAUGAAAGGCGUUGGUAACUUAAGACAGCAGGACGGUGGCCAUGGAAGUCGGAAUCCGCUAAGGAGUGUGUA
rnacentral:rRNA from 1 species